rnacentral:misc_RNA from 1 species
AACCUCUGAAAGAGCGGAAUCAGCUUUUUUUCCUUGGCGUGGCCAAUUACCAUUGUGUGAGCACCAGCUUCCAGUGCUUUUCUCACCUUCUCACAAUCCGAUCGUGACGCACAGACCCGAGUUUGGGCGAAAACGACAACACGGAAACAGCUCACGAGUUCGCGCGCACACGCAACCACGAAAAACAGAAUACACUGACUGCAGCGUGACGACAACACAUUAGUCACGGUAUAUUAGCGGCAGCACAGAUAUCUAAAUCCGCCGCUGCAACUCCAGGACGCAGUAAGCAGCCGUGCAACAGGUAGUGCGCGUCGGCCUUUUGGUUUCUGCGCUGACUUCUCUGCUUCGCUUAGCGUUCCUCUCACGGCAGCUGUAAUGAGCAAGUACGUGGCCCCCACUGGCAAGGUAGCGCCAGCAGCCCCCGCUGCGGACAACGGUGUUGCUGAUAUCACCAAGGUGAAGAUCUGCUCUGGACACACGCGCCCAGUAUGCCACAUUAACUACAGUGAAAUCAUCGAUGGCACCUUCUGGUUUGUGACAUCGUGCCACGACGCAAAACCGAUGCUUCGCAAUGGCCAGACCGGUGACUGGGUAGGAACGUUUGAGGGGCACAAGGGCGCUGUGUUCUGCUCCGCCUUCAACUCUGGUGCGACGCGGCUGGUGACGGGUAGCGGCGACUACUCUGCGAUGGUCUGGGACGCCUUGACUGGCAAGAAACUUCAUGUGUGGAGCCACCCAAAGUACAUCAAGUCGUGCGACUGGAUGGAUCAGCGGAUUGCCACAGGCUGCUUCGAUGGUAACAUCCGCAUCUACGACGCUACUCGGUACGAUGCUGACCCUCUGUCGUUUGGUAGCCCCGACGCCAUUAACGUCAAGUCGACAUACUUUUUGGACACAAACACCAUGGUGACAGCGUGCGAGAACGUGAUCAUGAAGUGGGAUCUCCGUGACACAUCCGGGCCCUACCUGCGCCGUGAGAUUCCCGGUCUCAACUUUGUCGAAUACACGCACCGCCACUCUAUUGUCGCCGCUCAUGAGAAGAGCAUCAGCUUCAUCGACAUCACGUCCUUGGAGGUGAAGGACAGCUUCACCACCUCGGAGGAUGUCGAGUGCGCGUCUCUCUCACCAGACGGGCAGCGCGUCGCGGCCGGAUCAAAGCUGAAGGCCAAGGAGUUCACGCUGGAUGGCGUCGAGGUGGAGUCCAACCGCGGUCACCACGGACCCGUGUUCCACAUCCGCUGGGCCUCAGAUGGAAACUCCUACGCCUCCGGCGCUGAGGACGGCAUGGUGCGCGUGUGGCCCUCGCACGAGAUCAUCGAGAAGUACGACACGGACGCCUAGUGGAGUGCAAACAGUGUCCGAUGGCGUCCUGGCUGAACAAGAGGGUAAAGGUAACAUACGAAAAAAGGAGGAACCCAACACGAGGUGAGGCGUCAAGGCGAUGUGCCGUGAAGUGUGGAUUAUCCACAUAGCCUGCAGCCUACGUUGCAGGAGAAGGGGCACAACAGUGGGCCUACUUCUACUGCUGCAAGAACGAAAGGCAAGAUCUCUUUUUCGAAGUUUGGGUCAGCCUAUUCCUUGAGCGAGUCAAUCAAUGAUCUCUGCUGUCGCACACGUGUGUGCAGGUACGUGUGUGUGUGUGUGUGUGGACUCCUUUUGUUCGCUUCCCUCUUCAUAUAGCUUCACGUCUCGCGUGUUUUCAAUGAUGGCCGAGUGGUGCAUGUGCGUCCUCUCUCCUCCAUCUCCUUGUGAGGCGUGCACUCCCCCUUUCCUCUUUCACCGCCAAG